GGCAGUGGGUGCUCUUUGGACGCUUCUCCCACUCGCACACGUACGCCAGCUCCAUGACGGAACCACAGAAGAAGAAGCUGGAGGCCAAGUGAUGCCUCACCUGAGAACAGACACACAGCACAGGAAUCAUUUCUGUGGAGGGACUGUGGUUCACCCUCAGUGGGUUGUCACUGCUGCACAUCGCCUGGAGAGGUGCUAUAAGGUGCUGCUGGGUGUCCACACAGAGAGAGCCAAUGAGCUGUCAAACAAGAGAGGAACCUGGAGAAACUGGUGCUGGGACCCAACGGAGCUGACAUCGCUCUGCUCA